UACAUAGGGGGCAAGCGUUAAUCGGCAUUACUGGGCGUAAAGCGCGCGUAGGUGGUUCGUUAAGUUGGAUGUGAAAUCCCCGGGCUCAACCUGGGAACUGCAUCCAAAACUGGCGAGCUAGAGUAUGGUAGAGGGUGGUGGAAUUUCCUGUGUAGCGGUGAAAUGCGUAGAUAUCUGGAGGAACACCGGUGGCGAAGGCGGCGUCCUGGACCAACACUGACACUGAGGAGCGAAAGCCAGGGGAGCAAACGGG
rnacentral:rRNA from 1 species